rnacentral:rRNA from 1 species
CACGUAGGGCGCAAGCGUUGUCCGGAAUUAUUGGGCGUAAAGAGCUCGUAGGCGGUCUGUUGCGUCCGCUGUGAAAACUCGGGGCUUAACCCCGAGCCUGCAGUGGAUACGGGCAGACUAGAGGUAGGUAGGGGAGAAUGGAAUUCCCGGUGUAGCGGUGAAAUGCGCAGAUAUCGGGAGGAGCACCGGUGGCGAAGGCGGUUCUCUGGGCCGAUACUGACGCUGAGACGCGAAAGCGUGGGGAGCGAACAGG